AUGUCCCAUGGAAAUUUUGGCUGGCAUAUUAAUCCAGAUCACUAUGGCGACUCACAUCCUCACUUCUACACCCGUUGGACGAGAGAUAAUUAUGAUGCAACAGGCUGCUACAACAUGGACUGCCCUGGUUACAUACGGGUAGAUGGCGCUGUUAUAGCUCCUGGUGAUGCUAUACAUCCAGUUUCUAAUGUCCCUAAUGGACCUAGACAAAGUAUCACUCUAAGGGUGCUAAAGGACAAAAGAAGUGGAGAUUGGUGGGUAUAUUACGGCUUCAAUAAAAUCCCGACAGGCGUGGGAUACUUCCCAAGGUCGUUGUUCAGCUACUUAGCAGAAAAGGCAGACGGAAUGCAAUUUGGUGCAUUUGUUAAAUCUCAAAAAGCACUUCCAACUCCUCCAAUGGGCAAUGGUGCCCUCCCAAAUGGUGGUAAGGGUCACGCCGCAUUAUUCACAGACAUUAGAUUCAUUGACCAGGAUGGAAAUAGCAGCCCAAUCAAGGAAGACCUACCCAUGUUUGUUACUGAUAAAAAAUGCCACUCUAUCACCCAUAUUGUUCAUGCUGAAUGCUUUUAUGGUGGUCCUGGAGGUUGUAUGAGAUAA
rnacentral:rRNA from 1 species